CCUACGGGUGGCAGCAGUGAGGAAUAUUGGUCAAUGGCCGGAAGGCUGAACCAGCCAUGCCGCGUGAAGGUCAGUGCCCUAUGGGCGUUAAACUUCUUUUGUGCGGGAGCAAUAAUGGUCACGUGUGGCCAGACGAGAGUACCGUACGAAUAAGCAUCGGAUAACUCCGUGCCAGCAGCCGCGGUAAUACGGGGGAUGCAAGCGUUAUCCGGAUUUAUGGGGUUUAAAGGGUGCGCAGGCGGGUGAUCAAGUCAGCGGUAACAUGUCGGGGCCCAACCCCGGCCGGCCGUUGAAACUGGUUGUCUAGAGUGGGAGAGAAGUAUGCGGAAUUCGUGGUGUAGCGGUGGAAUGCAUAGAUAUCACGAAGAACGCCGAUUGCGAAGGCAGCAUACCGGCUCCAUACUGACGCUGAGGCACGAAAGCGUGGGGAUCGAACAGGAUUAGAUACCCCAGUAGUC
rnacentral:rRNA from 1 species